rnacentral:sRNA from 1 species
GUUGUCUGAAGGCCGAGGCCAAGAUGGCGGUGCUGUCAGCUCCUGGCCUGCGCGGCUUCCGGAUCCUUGGUCUGCGCUCCAGCGUGGGCCCGGCUGUGCAGGCACGAAGUGUCCAUCAGAGCGUGGCCACCGAUGGCCCAAGCAGCACCCAGCCUGCCCUGCCAAAGGCCAGAGCCGUGGCUCCCAAACCCAGCAGCCGGGGCGAGUAUGUGGUGGCCAAGCUGGAUGACCUCGUCAACUGGGCCCGCCGGGUGAGUACUAUGAGCUGCAGGCCCUCCUCGAGCGCCAGGGCCUCUCUGCACACUCACAGGCACACAUAUACACACACCAACGUGCAGACACGUACACACACAACACAUGCAUGCACACUCACAUGUAUGGACAGAUGUGUACACGGACCACACGCACACAAUGCACAUAUGCACACUCGCACACAUGCACACUCGCACACAUGCACACACAAGCACAUGCGCACACACGCUCGCACACAUACAUACACACAUGCACACUUGCACUCAUGCACACACACUCAUGCGCACACAUACACAUGCACAUGCACACUCGCACACACGUGCACAUAUAUGCACAGUCAUGCGCACACAUGCACACUCACACACAUGCACACACGUACUUGUGUGGACGCAUGCAUGUGCGCCUGUUGGCAUGCAUGCACACAGGCACACUCACUGAUGCACACACACCCCUGCGGCCGUGGAGCAGGGCAGACCCUCCCGGAGGCCCCUGUGCUGGCCUGGUGGCCUGUGGUUCCAUCUGAGGAUUCGGACCCUGCUUGAGAUGAACCCCUCCGUUUCCGUCAUUCUCUUUCUGGCUUCCGUGUGUUCCUCUUGUUUCUCUUUUAAGGUGAAAGCAGUGUUUUAAGUUAAAAGGAGCGCGUGUGAAGGCAGUAGAUCCUUCUCGGUACCCGUUUAAAGCCUCCCCUGCCUGUGGCGCCAGCCCCCACGCAGCCCCUGCCAUCCCCCUGCAGCGUGAGCACGUGCAGCUCCCUCCAGCUCCUGCGGCACUUGCCGUGACAGCCCGGGUUCAACAAUCCCCCAUUGAUGGACGUUCACUGUUUCCUUUUGUUUUUUGUUUCCUAAACAAUGCCACGGCGAACGUCCUGCCAGGGCCGCAGUGGUCGAGACAAGGAUAGUUUUUAAUGCAGGAUAGUUCUUUUCUUUUUCUUUUCUUUCUUUUUUUUUUUUUUUUGAGACGGAGGCUCGCUCUGUCGCCGAGGCUGGAGUGCAGUGGCGUGAUCUCGGCUCACUGCAAGCUCCGCUUCCCGGGUUCACGCCAUUCUCCUGCCUCAGCCUCCUAAGUAGCUGGGACUACAGGUGCCCGCCACCACGCCCGGCUAAUUUUUUGUAUUUUUAUUUUUAGUAGAGACGGGGUUUCACCGUGUUGGCCAGGAUGGUCUCGAUCUCCUGACCUCGUGAUCCGCCCACCUCGGCCUCCCAAAGUGCUGGGAUUACAGGCGUGAGCCACCGCGCCCGGCUAAUGCAGGAUAGUUUCUAAUGGAGGGAACCUGAGACAUGGCCAGGGGCCGUCCCAACACAGGCUUCUGGCGGGCAGGUGGACCUGGCCAUUUCUGCCCGGGCAGCCCUGCCUCACUCUGUAGCCUGACCCUCUCACCCGCCAAUACAUGCAGCAGGGCCCCUGCCAGGUCUCAGAGCCACGUGCAGGGAGAGCGGGAACCGUGGGAGAAAAGAGAAGCCACGGGGAUGGAGGAGAGGGGAGGGAGUGGCCAAGGAGAUCUGAGAGGGCUUCCUGGAGGCGUCGCACUUGGUAUGCGGACCCAGAUCUAGUUAAGGCAGAGUUCCCGGUUAGACCUGCGCUACUACUCGCCUGUAGCCCACGUGCUCAGAGAGUGGCUGGAGCCCCCUGUUGAAAUGGUGGGACUUAGGAUACACUGGGUUCGAGGAACUAUGUGAUGAGGACAGAUCUCACCCGUUUCUCUCUAUUUUAUGUAUUUGAAUGUGGCUGGUGGGGCGCGCUUUACAACUCUUGGGGCCCAGAGGCCACCUGCAGGAGCCGCUGUGCCUCUCACCUCUGCCGGCUGCCACCCCGGGACAUGAGUCGGGGGUUCUGGGUGCUCCACGUGGAGUCUCACGCUGGGCCACGCGGGGCUCCGGGGGUGGCGUCUGACCCGAGCCCGGCCUCCGCAGAGUUCUCUGUGGCCCAUGACCUUCGGCCUGGCCUGCUGCGCCGUGGAGAUGAUGCACAUGGCAGCACCCCGCUACGACAUGGACCGCUUCGGCGUGGUCUUCCGCGCCAGCCCGCGCCAGUCCGACGUCAUGAUCGUGGCCGGCACACUCACCAACAAGAUGGCCCCAGCGCUUCGCAAGGUAGGCCUCGUCCCAGCCGCCCAGCCGCCCCCAGAGUGAGCUGCGCACGGACCCCGCCUCUCUUCCAGGUCUACGACCAGAUGCCGGAGCCGCGCUACGUGGUCUCCAUGGGGAGCUGCGCCAACGGAGGAGGCUACUACCACUACUCCUACUCGGUGGUGAGGGGCUGCGACCGCAUCGUGCCCGUGGACAUCUACAUCCCAGGUAGGGCCGGGACCGCACCGCCCACGAGGAAGCUGGAGACAGGGCCAGCGCCACACGGAGCCCGGCGGCCCCUGUGAGGGAGUCCCACACCCCCAGCAGACGGCGGGCUCCCCCAUCCUAUGGAUGGGCCGACUCGGAGCGCUGCCUCUUAGUGGAGUGUGUCCCCUGUGAGAAGUCGGCGAUGUAUUCAGGCAUCAGAGGGAUCAGAGGGAGCAGGGGAAGCUGAGUGGAAUUCCUGACACUCGCCUGGUUUACAGCAGUUUCAUAUGGUCCUACCUGGCACAAACCAAAGACCUGCAGUUAGAAAUACCAAGAGAGAAGGUUCCUGGGGGCCAAGGACACUGUCCCGCGCCCUCAGCCUUACAGAAGGGCACGCAGGA